rnacentral:rRNA from 1 species
CGAAAGCCUGACGGAGCAACGCCGCGUGGGGGAAGAAGGUUCUUGGAUUGUAAACCCCUUUUCUCAGGGAAGAAGAUCUGACGGUACCUGAGGAAUCAGCCUCGGCUAACUCCGUGCCAGCAGCCGCGGUAAUACGGAGGAGGCAAGCGUUAUUCGGAAUUAUUGGGCGUAAAGCGUCCGCAGGGGGCGCAUCAAGUCUGCUGUUAAAGGCUGGAGCUCAACUCCGGUAGAGCAGUGGAAACUGGUGCGCUAGAGGGCGACAGGGGUAGAGGGAAUUCCCAGUGUAGCGGUGAAAUGCGUAGAGAUUGGGAAGAACACCGGUGGCGAAAGCGCUCUACUGGGUCGCACCUGACCCUCAGGGACGAAAGCUAAGGUAGCG